AUGGCUUCCCACCCGUCGCCGCCGCCGCCGCCGGAAUACCCUAGACCACCCGCUGGAACCACCAUAAGCGCCCUCGGCGACGACCAGCUCCGAGAGAUCUUCCUCCGCCUCCCGGACCUCCCCAGCCUCGCCGCUGCCGCCUUCACCUGCCGCGCCUUCCUCAGCGCCGUCCGCUCGUCGCGCGCCUUCCGCCGCCGCUUCCGCGAGCUGCACGCACCCCCGCUCAUCGCUCUCUUCCUCACACCCUGCAUGCACACGGUACCGGCCUUCCCCUCCUCACGGCGCCCCUCCGCCGGAUUCAGUCCCCUCCGAGACCACGCCGCCGCUUCCGAUUCCGAGUGGGGGCUCGAUUUCCGCGACAUUGCCUAUGACGACGGCUUCAUUUGCAUCGAAAACCGGACCACCAAGCAGCAAGUUUUGUACAAUCCCCAAACAGCUGCCCUGAUUCUCCGCCCCAAGGAGGACCACGACAUGCCCUACGGCAGCUCCCUUGAAUUCCACAUACUCUCUCCCGAAGAGGAUCAGAGGCCGUCCCGUGUGGUCUAUGUCCGUCACGACUACUCGUGGGCUUGGGUACGCGUCGCCGUCCUCUCAUCCGACACCAUGGAGUGGCAGAUGUUCCCGGAGACCGCGACGCCGCUGCCCGAGGGCUCCAGGCACGCAGCCAGCACGGUGGUGGAUGGGUUUAUCUGUUGGGAAUUCGUGUCCCUGAACGAGGUAUCUCUCAGCGAGUACAUUUUGGUGCUCAACACAGACACCUUUCAGUUCUCUCGAAUUGAUCUGCCUCCGCCCUUGAGAGUGGUAUACCCAAAAUUUAAGAUUGGUCAGACCAAGGAUCGGAACCUCUGCAUCGUCAUUGAGAAGGAUUGCACGCUUUUUCUUUGGAUCUGCAAAACCGGUGAUGACGGCGUCCAGAGAUUUGUGCUGCACAGUACGUUCCCGUUGCACGCUAGAUUUAUGGAGGUCACCAGCUGUUCAGUGGAAGAUCGAUUCUCAGUGCAGCUUAUGACGGUCUUCAAUGGCUUUGUGUACCUUUCUAUUUGCCCCUGGAAGAGUUUCAGGGAUAAGUACAGAUCCCCUGAGUGGUUCAUGUCCUUCUCUCUGGAAACAGCGGAGCUGAACCAGCAUUUUAAGAACAGAAAGCGAAUUGGCUGCUCUGUCCAUCCCUAUUUGGCCUGGCCUCCUUUGGUAGACAACACGGAGGAUUCAGAAUAUGAAGUUACUGGAAACAGCGUUGGAAGUGUUGGUCCUGAGAGCACAGAAAAGGAUUCAUCGUUUCUUAUAAAAACAUUACGAUCAUUCAAAGAAGCUUUGAUUAAGGAUGAUGAUGCAAAUGUUGCUGAGAUUGAGGCCUUCUUACUUUGCAUUGAUGUCGAUGAUGAGAAGAACUCUCUUGCUAGGAAAAUCAUUGCUUUAGAUGAAAUAUUGAUAACCGUGAGAGAUCGUGUCUUGAGAGCAGGUGCAGACUCUGAAUUCUACAGACUGAGAGCAGGUGCAGAUUCUGAAUUCUACAGACAGAAGACAGAAACAGAGAGCUGGUGGCAAAUGUGCAAGGGGAAGUUAUGGAGAGCUUUCUUCGGUAGCUGA
rnacentral:rRNA from 1 species